CUAAUACCGGAUAAUAUUUUGAACCGCAUGGUUCAAAAGUGAAAGACGGUCUUGCUGUCACUUAUAGAUGGAUCCGCGCUGCAUUAGCUAGUUGGUAAGGUAACGGCUUACCAAGGCAACGAUGCAUAGCCGACCUGAGAGGGUGAUCGGCCACACUGGAACUGAGACACGGUCCAGACUCCUACGGGAGGCAGCAGUAGGGAAUCUUCCGCAAUGGGCGAAAGCCUGACGGAGCAACGCCGCGUGAGUGAUGAAGGUCUUCGGAUCGUAAAACUCUGUUAUUAGGGAAGAACAUAUGUGUAAGUAACUGUGCACAUCUUGACGGUACCUAAUCAGAAAGCCACGGCUAACUACGUGCCAGCAGCCGCGGUAAUACGUAGGUGGCAAGCGUUAUCCGGAAUUAUUGGGCGUAAAGCGCGCGUAGGCGGUUUUUUAAGUCUGAUGUGAAAGCCCACGGCUCAACCGUGGAGGGUCAUUGGAAACUGGAAAACUUGAGUGCAGAAGAGGAAAGUGGAAUUCCAUGUGUAGCGGUGAAAUGCGCAGAGAUAUGGAGGAACACCAGUGGCGAAGGCGACUUUCUGGUCUGUAACUGACGCUGAUGUGCGAAAGCGUGGGGAUCAAACAGGAUUAGAUACCCUGGUAGUCCACGCCGUAAACGAUGAGUGCUAAGUGUUAGGGGGUUUCCCGCCCCUUAGUGCUGCAGCUAACGCAUUAAGCACUCCGCCUGGGGAGUACGACCGCAAGGUUGAAACUCAAAGGAAUUGACGGGGACCCGCACAAGCGGUGGAGCAUGUGGUUUAAUUCGAAGCAACGCGAAGAACCUUACCAAAUCUUGACAUCCUUUGACAACUCUAGAGAUAGAGCCUUCCCCUUCGGGGGACAAAGUGACAGGUGGUGCAUGGUUGUCGUCAGCUCGUGUCGUGAGAUGUUGGGUUAAGUCCCGCAACGAGCGCAACCCUUAAGCUUAGUUGCCAUCAUUAAGUUGGGCACUCUAAGUUGACUGCCGGUGACAAACCGGAGGAAGGUGGGGAUGACGUCAAAUCAUCAUGCCCCUUAUGAUUUGGGCUACACACGUGCUACAAUGGACAAUACAAAGGGCAGCGAAACCGCGAGGUCAAGCAAAUCCCAUAAAGUUGUUCUCAGUUCGGAUUGUAGUCUGCAACUCGACUACAUGAAGCUGGAAUCGCUAGUAAUCGUAGAUCAGCAUGCUACGGUGAAUACGUUCCCGGGUCUUGUACACACCGCCCGUCACACCACGAGAGUUUGUAACACCCGAAGCCGGUGGAGUAACCUUUUAGGAGCUAGCCGUCGAAGGUGGGACAAAUGAUUGGGGUGAAGUCGUAACAAGGUAGCCGUAUCGGAAGGUGCGGCUGGAUCACCUCCUUUCUAAGGA
rnacentral:rRNA from 1 species